CUGCAAGUCAGAGGUCGAGAGGAUUUAAACUACGGCAAGCGGAGAGGUCAAACUACAGCCGCGCAACAGAGGAGAUGAGUCACUGAUCAUGUACAACGCAGUGGACAGCGUCAUGGGCCGAUGCUGAAUGUUUACUCUCAGUCUUUAAUGACCGCCCAUAAUGAGAGGGUUACAGGGAGCAAAAUAAUCAGAUAUUGGGACAAAAACAAGCCAUAGAGUGUGUGAAAGCCAGAGGUC